rnacentral:rRNA from 1 species
UAAAAAAAGGUAAGCUACUAAGAGCGAAUGGUGGAUGCCUUGACUGGUAAAGGCGAUGAAGGACGUACUAGACUGCGAUAAGCUACGGGGAGCUGUCAAGAAGCUUUGAUCCGUAGAUUUCCGAAUGGGGCAACCCAAUGUAUAGAGAUAUACAUUACCUAUAUAGGAGCGAACGAGGGGAAUUGAAACAUCUUAGUACCCUCAGGAAAAGAAAUCAAUAGAGAUUGCGUCAGUAGCGGCGAGCGAAAGCGCAAGAGGGCAAACCCAGUGCUUGCACUGGGGGUUGUAGGACUGCAAUGUGCAAGAGCUGAGUUUAGCAGAACAUUCUGGAAAGUAUAGCCAUAGAGGGUGAUAGUCCCGUAUGCGAAAAACAAAGCUUAGCUAGCAGUAUCCUGAGUAGGGCGGGACACGAGGAAUCCUGUCUGAAUCCGGGUCGACCACGAUCCAACCCUAAAUACUAAUACCAGAUCGAUAGUGCACAAGUACCGUGAGGGAAAGGUGAAAAGAACUGAGGUGAUCAGAGUGAAAUAGAACCUGAAACCAUUUGCUUACAAUCAUUCAGAGCACUAUGUAGCAAUACAGUGUGAUGGACUGCCUUUUGCAUAAUGAGCCUGCGAGUUGUGGUGUCUGGCAAGGUUAAGCAAACGCGAAGCCGUAGCGAAAGCGAGUCUGAAUAGGGCGCUUAGUCAGAUGCUGCAGACCCGAAACGAAGUGAUCUAUCCAUGAGCAAGUUGAAGCUAGUGUAAGAACUAGUGGAGGACUGAACCCAUAGGCGUUGAAAAGCCCCGGGAUGACUUGUGGAUAGGGGUGAAAGGCCAAUCAAACUUCGUGAUAGCUGGUUCUCUCCGAAAUAUAUUUAGGUAUAGCGUUGUGUCGUAAUAUAAGGGGGUAGAGCACUGAAUGGGCUAGGGCAUACACCAAUGUACCAAACCCUAUCAAACUCCGAAUACCUUAUAUGUAAUCACAGCAGUCAGGCGGCGAGUGAUAAAAUCCGUCGUCAAGAGGGAAACAACCCAGACUACCAGCUAAGGUCCCUAAAUCUUACUUAAGUGGAAAACGAUGUGAAGUUACUUAAACAACCAGGAGGUUGGCUUAGAAGCAGCCAUCCUUUAAAGAAAGCGUAAUAGCUCACUGGUCUAGUGAUUUUGCGCGGAAAAUAUAACGGGGCUAAAGUAAGUACCGAAGCUGUAGACUUGCACACAACUUAGAUUAUUUAAGUUUAGAAUAAGUAGUUUAAGUUGUGUGCAAGUGGUAGGAGAGCGUUCUAUUUGCGUCGAAGGUAUACCGGUAAGGAGUGCUGGAGCGAAUAGAAGUGAGCAUGCAGGCAUGAGUAGCGAUAAUUAAUGUGAGAAUCAUUAACGCCGUAAACCCAAGGUUUCCUACGCGAUGCUCGUCAUCGUAGGGUUAGUCGGGUCCUAAGUCGAGUCCGAAAGGGGUAGACGAUGGCAAAUUGGUUAAUAUUCCAAUACCAACAUUAGUGUGCGAUGGAAGGACGCUUAGGGCUAAGGGGGCUAGCGGAUGGAAGUGCUAGUCUAAGGUUGUAGGAGGUUAUACAGGCAAAUCCGUAUAACAAUACUCCGAGAACUGAAAGGCUUUUUGAAGUCUUCGGAUGGAUAGAAGAACCCCUGAUGCCGUCGAGCCAAGAAAAGUUUCUAAGUUUAGCUAAUGUUGCCCGUACCGUAAACCGACACAGGUGGGUGGGAUGAGUAUUCUAAGGCGCGUGGAAGAACUCUCUUUAAGGAACUCUGCAAAAUAGCACCGUAUCUUCGGUAUAAGGUGUGGUUAGCUUCGUACUAGGAUUUGACUUCGAAAGCGAAGAAACUUACAACAAAGAGUCCCUCCCGACUGUUUACCAAAAACACAGCACUCUGCUAACUCGUAAGAGGAUGUAUAGGGUGUGACGCCUGCCCGGUGCUCGAAGGUUAAUUGAUGGGGUUAGCAUUAGCGAAGCUCUUGAUCGAAGCCCGAGUAAACGGCGGCCGUAACUAUAACGGUCCUAAGGUAGCGAAAUUCCUUGUCGGUUAAAUACCGACCUGCAUGAAUGGCGUAACGAGAUGGGAGCUGUCUCAAAGAGGGAUCCAGUGAAAUUGUAGUGGAGGUGAAAAUUCCUCCUACCCGCGGCAAGACGGAAAGACCCCGUGGACCUUUACUACAGCUUGACACUGCUACUUGGAUAAGAAUGUGCAGGAUAGGUGGGAGGCUUUGAGUAUAUGACGCCAGUUGUAUAUGAGCCAUUGUUGAGAUACCACUCUUUCUUAUUUGGGUAGCUAACCAGCUUGAGUUAUCCUCAAGUGGGACAAUGUCUGGUGGGUAGUUUGACUGGGGCGGUCGCCUCCCAAAUAAUAACGGAGGCUUACAAAGGUUGGCUCAGAACGGUUGGAAAUCGUUCGUAGAGUAUAAAGGUAUAAGCCAGCUUAACUGCAAGACAUACAAGUCAAGCAGAGACGAAAGUCGGUCUUAGUGAUCCGGUGGUUCUGUGUGGAAGGGCCAUCGCUCAAAGGAUAAAAGGUACCCCGGGGAUAACAGGCUGAUCUCCCCCAAGAGCUCACAUCGACGGGGAGGUUUGGCACCUCGAUGUCGGCUCAUCGCAUCCUGGGGCUGGAGCAGGUCCCAAGGGUAUGGCUGUUCGCCAUUUAAAGCGGUACGCGAGCUGGGUUCAGAACGUCGUGAGACAGUUCGGUCCCUAUCUGCCGUGGGCGUAAGAAGAUUGAAGAGAUUUGACCCUAGUACGAGAGGACCGGGUUGAACAAACCACUGGUGUAGCUGUUGUUCUGCCAAGAGCAUCGCAGCGUAGCUAAGUUUGGAAAGGAUAAACGCUGAAAGCAUCUAAGCGUGAAGCCAACUCUAAGAUGAAUCUUCUCUAAGCUCUCUAGAAGACUACUAGUUUGAUAGGCUGGGUGUGUAAUGGAUGAAAGUCCUUUAGCUGACCAGUACUAAUAGAGCGUUUGGCUUAUCUUUAAUAAAGCAU